CGGGUUAUUCUUUACUUUUACUUCGUGUUUGGGAAAAGAACCCUUUUUAGAUAUCGUAAUCGUUAGUUCGUUAUUUCUUGCGUUAUUGCGAUAAAAAUAUCAAAUGACAUUGUUUCUAAUUUCGUAUAUUACGUGACUAGUACUAGCGAUAAGUUUGUAAACGCGAUGGUCUUUAGAAAACGUGGAGUAUUUCGAUCAAUGGAAAGUCAACGGAUAUUGUGAAAUUUAGUUGUGUGGUUUAUUCAAAAAUUUUGGAAUUUGAUUUCACGUGAAAUGAAAGUACAAAAACUGUGUUAGUUACGUUUUCGUGUUUUCAUGUAUAACGCGAGUAUUUUUGCAUGACAUACGAGAAGAAGAAAAGGUACAAGUACUUGGAAUCUAAAUCUAAAAGCAGAAUGUAUCGAAGUCUGCUACUUAAGCGCCACGAACAUGGAAGAAAACGAUGAAACGAUGCAGCAAGUAGUACGAGCUUGUCGCGACUGAGACGAAACUAAUCGGAUUGUUGUUAUCUGUGGGUCUAUGAACGUAAAUGGCUUGGCGAAAAAAGAACGCGAUGAAACCAGGUGCACGUACAGAAAUGUGUCCGGGUUAGUGGAUUUUUGGAAAGGUGCCGCGAAAGUUUCCGAAUUAUAAGAUGGAAGAAACUGGAGAAAAGAGAUUUCCUUCAACGUCUCUACGUUGCUGAAGAGAAGGUAAGAAAUUGAGAAUUUUGUAGUGAUAUCGUUGUCAUAUUGGGCAUAAUUGAGGUUAUGUAUAAUAGAAAAAUAUAUGCUACUAACAAAGUUACCGUAAUUUUGCGUUGAAUGAUACAUUAUCAAAAGAA